GUCGCGGGCUCCGGACUACGACGAUUCCCGA
rnacentral:rRNA from 1 species